UACGAGAGCCUCGAGCGUUAUCCGGAAUUAUUGGGCGUAAAGGGUGCGUAGGUUGUUCUGUUAGUCUUUUGUCAAAACCCGGGGCUUAACUUCGGGAUCGCAAAAGAAACGGCAGAACUUGAAAGUGCGAGAGGCGUACGGAACUUAUGGUGUAGGGGUGAAAUCCGUUGAUAUCAUAGGGAACACCAAAUGCGAAGGCAGUACGCUGGCGCAUAUUUGACACUGAAGCACGAAAGCGUGGGUAG
rnacentral:rRNA from 1 species